UACGUAGGCAGCGAGCGUUGUUCGGAAUUACUGGGCGUAAAGAGUGUGUAGGCGGUGCUCUAAGUUCGGUGUGAAAUCUCCUGGCUCAACUGGGAGGGUGCGCCGGAAACUGGAGUGCUUGAGCGUGGGAGAGGAAAGCGGAAUUCCUGGUGUAGCGGUGAAAUGCGCAGAUAUCAGGAGGAACACCGGUGGCGAAGGCGGGUCUCUGGGCCGUAACUGACGCUGAGGAGCGAAAGCGUGGGUAGCAAACAGG
rnacentral:rRNA from 1 species